GGUUAAGCGACUAAGCGUACACGGUGGAUGCCCUGGCAGUCAGAGGCGAUGAAGGACGUGCUAAUCUGCGAUAAGCGUCGGUAAGGUGAUAUGAACCGUUAUAACCGGCGAUUUCCGAAUGGGGAAACCCAGUGUGAUUUGUCACACUAUCAUUAACUGAAUCCAUAGGUUAAUGAGGCGAACCGGGGGAACUGAAACAUCUAAGUACCCCGAGGAAAAGAAAUCAACCGAGAUUCCCCCAGUAGCGGCGAGCGAACGGGGAGGAGCCCAGAGCCUGAAUCAGUGUGUGUGUUAGUGGAAGCGUCUGGAAAGGCGCGCGAUACAGGGUGACAGCCCCGUACACAAAAAUGCACAUGCUGUGAGCUCGAUGAGUAGGGCGGGACACGUGGUAUCCUGUCUGAAUAUGGGGGAACCAUCCUCCAAGGCUAAAUACUCCUGACUGACCGAUAGUGAACCAGUACCGUGAGGGAAAGGCGAAAAGAACCCCGGCGAGGGGAGUGAAAAAGAACCUGAAACCGUGUACGUACAAGCAGUGGGAGCACGCUUCGGCGUGUGACUGCGUACCUUUUGUAUAAUGGGUCAGCGACUUAUAUUCUGUAGCAAGGUUAACCGAAUAGGGGAGCCGAAGGGAAACCGAGUCUUAACUGGGCGUUAAGUUGCAGGGUAUAGACCCGAAACCCGGUGAUCUAGCCAUGGGCAGGUUGAAGGUUGGGUAACACUAACUGGAGGACCGAACCGACUAAUGUUGAAAAAUUAGCGGAUGACUUGUGGCUGGGGGUGAAAGGCCAAUCAAACCGGGAGAUAGCUGGUUCUCCCCGAAAGCUAUUUAGGUAGCGCCUCGUGAAUUCAUCUCCGGGGGUAGAGCACUGUUUCGGCAAGGGGGUCAUCCCGACUUACCAACCCGAUGCAAACUGCGAAUACCGGAGAAUGUUAUCACGGGAGACACACGGCGGGUGCUAACGUCCGUCGUGAAGAGGGAAACAACCCAGACCGCCAGCUAAGGUCCCAAAGUCAUGGUUAAGUGGGAAACGAUGUGGGAAGGCCCAGACAGCCAGGAUGUUGGCUUAGAAGCAGCCAUCAUUUAAAGAAAGCGUAAUAGCUCACUGGUCGAGUCGGCCUGCGCGGAAGAUGUAACGGGGCUAAACCAUGCACCGAAGCUGCGGCAGCGACACUAUGUGUUGUUGGGUAGGGGAGCGUUCUGUAAGCCUGUGAAGGUGGCCUGUGAGGGUUGCUGGAGGUAUCAGAAGUGCGAAUGCUGACAUAAGUAACGAUAAAGCGGGUGAAAAGCCCGCUCGCCGGAAGACCAAGGGUUCCUGUCCAACGUUAAUCGGGGCAGGGUGAGUCGACCCCUAAGGCGAGGCCGAAAGGCGUAGUCGAUGGGAAACAGGUUAAUAUUCCUGUACUUGGUGUUACUGCGAAGGGGGGACGGAGAAGGCUAUGUUGGCCGGGCGACGGUUGUCCCGGUUUAAGCGUGUAGGCUGGUUUUCCAGGCAAAUCCGGAAAACUAAGGCUGAGGCGUGAUGACGAGGCACUACGGUGCUGAAGCAACAAAUGCCCUGCUUCCAGGAAAAGCCUCUAAGCAUCAGGUAACAUCAAAUCGUACCCCAAACCGACACAGGUGGUCAGGUAGAGAAUACCAAGGCGCUUGAGAGAACUCGGGUGAAGGAACUAGGCAAAAUGGUGCCGUAACUUCGGGAGAAGGCACGCUGAUAUGUAGGUGAAGCGACUUGCUCGUGGAGCUGAAAUCAGUCGAAGAUACCAGCUGGCUGCAACUGUUUAUUAAAAACACAGCACUGUGCAAACACGAAAGUGGACGUAUACGGUGUGACGCCUGCCCGGUGCCGGAAGGUUAAUUGAUGGGGUUAGCGGUAACGCGAAGCUCUUGAUCGAAGCCCCGGUAAACGGCGGCCGUAACUAUAACGGUCCUAAGGUAGCGAAAUUCCUUGUCGGGUAAGUUCCGACCUGCACGAAUGGCGUAAUGAUGGCCAGGCUGUCUCCACCCGAGACUCAGUGAAAUUGAACUCGCUGUGAAGAUGCAGUGUACCCGCGGCAAGACGGAAAGACCCCGUGAACCUUUACUAUAGCUUGACACUGAACAUUGAGCCUUGAUGUGUAGGAUAGGUGGGAGGCUUUGAAGUGUGGACGCCAGUCUGCAUGGAGCCGACCUUGAAAUACCACCCUUUAAUGUUUGAUGUUCUAACGUUGACCCGUGAUCCGGGUUGCGGACAGUGUCUGGUGGGUAGUUUGACUGGGGCGGUCUCCUCCUAAAGAGUAACGGAGGAGCACGAAGGUUGGCUAAUCCUGGUCGGACAUCAGGAGGUUAGUGCAAUGGCAUAAGCCAGCUUGACUGCGAGCGUGACGGCGCGAGCAGGUGCGAAAGCAGGUCAUAGUGAUCCGGUGGUUCUGAAUGGAAGGGCCAUCGCUCAACGGAUAAAAGGUACUCCGGGGAUAACAGGCUGAUACCGCCCAAGAGUUCAUAUCGACGGCGGUGUUUGGCACCUCGAUGUCGGCUCAUCACAUCCUGGGGCUGAAGUAGGUCCCAAGGGUAUGGCUGUUCGCCAUUUAAAGUGGUACGCGAGCUGGGUUUAGAACGUCGUGAGACAGUUCGGUCCCUAUCUGCCGUGGGCGCUGGAGAACUGAGGGGGGCUGCUCCUAGUACGAGAGGACCGGAGUGGACGCAUCACUGGUGUUCGGGUUGUCAUGCCAAUGGCACUGCCCGGUAGCUAAAUGCGGAAGAGAUAAGUGCUGAAAGCAUCUAAGCACGAAACUUGCCCCGAGAUGAGUUCUCCCUGACUCCCUGAGAGUCCUGAAGGAACGUUGAAGACGACGACGUUGAUAGGCCGGGUGUGUAAGCGCAGCGAUGCGUUGAGCUAACCGGUACUAAUGAACCGUGAGGCUUAACCUU
rnacentral:rRNA from 1 species